UACGAAGGGGGCUAGCGUUGCUCGGAAUCACUGGGCGUAAAGGGUGCGUAGGCGGGUCUUUAAGUCGGGGGUGAAAUCCUGGAGCUCAACUCCAGAACUGCCUUUGAUACUGAAGAUCUUGAGUUCGGGAGAGGUGAGUGGAACUGCGAGUGUAGAGGUGAAAUUCGUAGAUAUUCGCAAGAACACCAGUGGCGAAGGCGGCUCACUGGCCCGAUACUGACGCUGAUGCACGAAAGCGUGGGGAGCAAACAGG
rnacentral:rRNA from 1 species